AAUGUGAAGUAAGUGACUGAAGGUGGGAACAAGUGUUUCUUUCUUUCUCCUCUUCCGCUAUGAAAUAGCAACUUCUAAAAAAGGGGUGCUGCAGAUGGUAAAGUCUUAAAUUACCAUGGUGAGCUUUGCUGGAGUCCCCUUGGAUGGAGCCCGUCUGCAGCUGAUUCACAGAAGGUCACGUCUGCCUGUCCUGCUCUACUCCUGAGCUUACUCAUGUAGUCAGUGUGGCUGACAGGGAUGAAAGAGCGGAACUGCUCGAACACAUUUGAUAUGGCUCUAGACAGCCAGACUGAUUUGCAAUCUCAAAGCACAGGAGAGACUGAGAGCGAUUGCAAUGGAUUACGAAUUAGUUCGGAAACACAGAGGCGAAGCGUGAGGGAGGAACGUGGCUGCAGCUGAGUGGUUAUUCUACUUAGUGCAUCUGAAUCCAGCAAUUCCACUGAGGAGCAGCAGCAUCACAACUGCAAGCAGAGCUCCAGAUGGCAGCUACGUGUGGAUCUAUGAAAUGAAAGGUCAAUCUGAAAAGGAACAAAGAGCCAAAACUGAGCAAAAGACUGCAGCUGGGAAGCAGCCAGAGCAAGUGAUACAGUUCCUGGGAGAACCCAGCAUGAUCCUUUUCCUCCUGUGUUCUCAUAGCUUAAUGUCUCCGUUGGACUGAUUCCCAAGGAGAAGUCUUUCUGCAGGUGCAGUGUUGUAACAGCUCUGAAACGUUAG